rnacentral:rRNA from 1 species
CUACGGGGCGCUCCAGUGAGGAAUUUUGCGCAAUGGGGGAAACCCUGACGCAGCAACGCCGCGUGAGUGAUGAAGGCCUUCGGGUCGUAAAGCUCUGUCAAGUGGGAAGAACCUAUCGAUAUUGAAUAUAUAUUGAUACUGACGGUACCACAAGAGGAAGCACCGGCUAACUCCGUGCCAGCAGCCGCGGUAAUACGGGGGGUGCAAGCGUUAUUCGGAAUCAUUGGGCGUAAAGGGCGCGCAGGCGGCCUUGUAAGUCAGAUGUGAAAGCCCGGGGCUCAACCCCGGAAGCGCAUUUGAAACUAUGAGGCUUGAGUAUGGGAGAGGGAAGUGGAAUUCCUGGUGUAGCGGUGAAAUGCGUAGAUAUCAGGAGGAACACCGGUGGCGAAGGCGACUUCCUGGACCAAUACUGACGCUGAGGCGCGAAGGCGUGGGGAGCAAACAGGAUUAGAUACCCUAGUAGUC